GACAGAGGGGGCAAGCGUUGCUCGGAAUUACUGGGCGUAAAGGGCGCGUAGGCGGGAUGGCAAGUCGGUCGUGAAAUCCCUCGGCUCAACUGAGGAGCGUCGAUCGAAACUGGUUGGCUUGAAUCCGGGAGAGGGAUGUGGAAUUCCAGGUGUAGCGGUGAAAUGCGUAGAUAUCUGGAGGAACACCGGUGGCGAAGGCGACAUCCUGGACCGGUAUUGACGCUGAGGCGCGAAAGCCAGGGGAGCAAACGGG
rnacentral:rRNA from 1 species